UAAGUACCUCGGACACUGGCUGACUCAGGGGACUAAGAAAUUGGAUACUGAUAGAGUCCAAGGAAUACUUUCCCUGGAAGCUCCAAAAACUAAAAGGCAGGUUCGACAGUUACUGGGACUUUUUGGGUAUUGCAGACAAUGGAUUGAAAAUUUUAGGGGGAAAGUUAAAUUUCUGUAUGAAAAAUUAACAACAGAUGGGCUAUUAAAGUGGAGCUCUGAGGAUGAGACCCGGUUAAAAUCAUUGAAAACUGAAUUGGUCAAUGCCCCGGUUCUCAGCCUCCCGGAUCUAAAAAGACCAUUCUUUUUAUUCAUUAAUGUCAAUGAAGGGGUGGCAUACGGGGUGUUAGCCCAGGAAUGGGCUGGCGGAAAGAAACCAGUGGCAUAUCUUUCAAAGCUUCUCGACCCUGUUAGUCGAGGGUGGCCUGCCUGUUUGCAAUCGAUAGUGGCUGCUGCCCUUUUGGUAGAAGAAGCAGGAAAGAUAACUUUUGGGAGUGAACUGAAGGUUCUAUCUCCUCAUAACAUCCGUGGAGUACUACAACAAAAAGCGGAUAAAUGGAUAACAGAUGCCAGCCUCCUAAAGUAUGAAGGCAUCCUAAUUUCUUCUCCUAGGUUAAGUAUUGAAACCACAAGCUUACAAAAUCCAGCCCAGUUUCUAUAUGGGGAACCAGUUGUGGGACUAACUCAUGAUUGUCUUUUGCAAAUAGAGGAACAAACAAAAAUAAGACCAGACCUCAAAGAGGAGGAAUUAGAAGAAGGAUAUCGAUAUUAUGUAGAUGGAUCCUCUCGGGUCCUUGAAGGGAAAAGGAAAUCUGGGUAUGCUAUUGUGGAUGGGAAGAUUCUUAAGAAAAUAGAAUCUGGUCCUCUUAGUCCCAGCUGGUCAGCACAAGCAUGUGAAUUGUAUGCAGUGCUCAGAGCUUUAGAACUGCUAAGAGGAAAGGCUGGGACCAUUUCUACUGAUUCAAAAUAUGCUUAUGGGGUGGUUCAUACAUUUGGUAAAAUCUGGGAAGAAAGGGGACUUAUCAAUUCACAGGGAAAGGGGUUGAUACAUGGGGAAUUAAUUCGGAAAGUGCUCCAGGCCUUGAGAGGUCCGGAAAGAAUAGCUAUUGUUCAUGUAAAAGGACAUCAAGUGGGGAUGGGAAACUCAGUACAGGGAAAUAACUUAGCCGACCAGGAGGCGAAAAAGGCAGCUCUAAUGAGUUUAAAACCAUAUAAGGGGGGGGUCGCACAAAGGGAAAAUUGCUCCACUUGUGGAGCUGACUUAGAGGAAGAACCAUGUUGGGCUUGUUGGGAUGCAUACGGAAUUGAUUCGAUACAGUGUGCCUGUGAUAACCCCCAAAAGGAACAUUGAUGGUGCCACGGACUCAUUAAUCAUGAGUGUGCCUGUGAAGACCCCCAAGAGAAACAUUGCCGGUUCCAUGGACCCAUUAACCAUGUGUUAGCCUUCACGGUACAGGAAAAACAAAAACUAAACCAAAUGGGGGUGAAGGAAAAAGAGGGAGGCAAGUGGAUACUACCGGACAGGCGGGAGGUACUCCCAAAAGGAAUGGCAAUGAGGCUCCUGCAAGCAAUCCAUGAGAAAACCCACUGGGGAACUCAAGCCCUGGUUGACCAAUUUGCAAUUAAAUAUAUGUGUAUAGGGGUCUAUAAUCUUGCAAAACAGGUAACCCAACAAUGUUUAACCUGUCAAAGAAUAAAUAAACAACAAUUAAGAGAAAUACCAAUGGGCAGAAGGGAACUGGUACAACGACCCUUUUCACAUAUACAAAUAGAUUUUACAGAAUUACCAAAAGUGGGGAGGUAUAAAUAUUUAUUGGUACUGGUAGACCACUUAACCCAUUACGUGGAAGCUUAUCCUACGGCCCGAGCUACUUCGAACACUGUGGUAAAAGUAUUAUUAGAGCAAAUUAUCCCCCGGUAUGGAUUAAUUGAGUGUUUAGACUCAGACCGGGGACCCCAUUUCACCUCUAAAGUUGCAAAAGAUGUCCUGACAGAUUUGGGAACUCAAUGGAAAUAUCACACCCCAUAGCAUCCACAGAGCUCGGGAGGGUGGAAAGGAUGAAUGGAGAAAAAAAAACAAAAAACAAAAAAACAAAAAAACAAAAAACCAAAAAACCAAAAAAAAAAAAAAAAACCAACAAAAAAACCUCACAAAGUUAAUGCUGGAAACAAAAAUGUCAUGGGUUAAGUGUCUACCUCUUGCCUUAUUGAACAUUCGAACUCAACCCCGAACUAAUGUGGGAAUCUCUCCAUUUGAAAUGUUAUUUAGAAUGCCCAAAGAUCACCCUGCCUAAAAGAUGCUCAUAUUAAAUUUUACAUCACCCAAAUUAUGAGCAGAAGGCAGGACUUGAGGAAGAAAGAAGUGUUGGCACAGAGACCACCAAUCCAUAAGAUAAAACCAGGAGAUCAAGUAUCACAGAAACGGCAGUCAAGACGGCCGAAAAGGGGUGGACUCACGCCAGCCGAGUGAAAGGCCCGGUUGCCACAAAUAACCAGUGGAGAGUGACUAGCCAGCCUGGGAACUUGAAAGUGACUCUUAAGAAAAACUAAUGAACUCUGUGGACAUCAUCCAAAUCAACCAUAAGGGGAAGCAAAGGGAUACAAUUACAAACUAGCUAAAGACUAUAUAGUGAUUUGUAACAAGGAAGGUUGUGGAGAUUGUUAUCCUUUUGUGUGCUUUAUAUGUAAAAUUUGCCAAGAACGGUGGUGGGUCCAUUGCCAGAGGGGAAGACCACCAAUUGGGGUUUGUACUGAGUGCUAUAAAACUCAGCGAAAACUAACUGAAACUGUGCUAAGGAUAGGAGAAUUGGAAAAUCGGUGGGUCAGUUUUGGAUCUGAGUGGUGGGAAAUAUUUACCAAGGGAGUAUACCCUGAGUAUUUUUGUUUUCAUACUAACGAGCCCACUCCAUUUGCUGCUCAGAUAAUAAAAGGGUGUUGUCGAAAGGAACUGAAGGGGAUUCCUUGCAACCCACUUCUGGUCAAAGAUAAGAACUGGGAACAGUACAAGGCUAGGCAGGAGCGGAAAAGGGGACGCUCAGGCGAGUACUGCUGCUGCCGAGAAGAUGGUUUACCUCGCGGCUCGAAGCACCCGAGUCGGCGAGCGAGGCAGAGAGGAAAAGGCCAAGCCCCCUCUAAGUGGAACAAUGCUGAAAUGCUCCAACUAUUGCCAGCCGAGUACUAGGAUCCCUCAAAGGACCAGUCUAAGUGCCUCCGAAACACCAAGGGAGCAGCAAGCCAAAAAGGGGAAAACAGGAUAUUACAAAACAAAAUCAAGGCUAGGACUCCACCCUUAUUGGCGAAUUAUUAGUUUUCUAUUGCUCUGUCCUAGUGGUGUUUCUAGUCAGGACAAUGCUAAACACUUUACUUCUAGCCUACGAAACAGCAAAGCGAUUUGAUGAACGAAAUGGUAAAAGAGAAAAUGGGGGAUUGUGAUAAACUGUGGUAACUUGUUUGUUCAUCAAAGGAAUUGGAAUAUUAAAGGAGGAAAAAUAAAAUUAAAGUAUGAGGGACUAGCUUGCUUGUUAGGAGAUAGGGGAAGCAUCUGUGAAGUUGGGAAACAGCAACUUGUGGGUUUUACUAAAAAAAGGACAAUAAAGAAGCAACUGCUACAAACCGCAAGGCUAUAGGCAUAUUGCAAGGCUAUAGACAUAUUGCAAAACGCAAGACCGCAAGUAUGAUUAAUCACCAUUUAGGGAGCUUUUCUUAGCUUCUCUUGCAGACACAGGCUAAGGAUGUUGGGGGAUGGCCGGAGCUGAUUAUGAAAUCAGCGACCACCAGGCAACGGCCACCGGACUAGACAACGUAGGAGUGCUCCGGGUACGCCCAUCACUGUCCGGAACCGAUUGUGAAACCAACGAUCACCUGCCUCGACACAACGCAGACACGAUGCAGAGGGAUGCUCAAGCUACGCCCACCGCUAUCACAAGAGACGCGAAUGAAGAAACCUCCAAGAAACUAUAAAAGAGACUGAAUAAGGGGGGUGGGGUGUGGGGCACUGCAGUGUGGGACACUGCAGGAGGGGCGGUUAGGAGACCCCUACCCACCCAGCGCUGUUUUGCUUGCUACUGCUUGCUGUAAUUAAUAAAAUUCUAAUUGACCUUCAAAAGGCUGAAUCAAAUUAUUCGCCUCAAUUUAUCACAGGGAGAAGGCUAAAGGGAGGGGAAAUAUAACAUUAACCAGUGGGGAAAAGGGAAAGGAGUGUUCUUGGUGGAAGAACCAAAGGGAAAACGUGGAACAGAGAAGAUUCUAGGCUAAGGGGCAGACUUGAACAAUAACUGACAAGACAGGGGGAGGGUACAAUUCUCUUACAAAAGGGGGUGGAGAACUCAUACAACUGCUGUUUCCCAUGGCAACCCUAGACUGCCUUCCCCAACCCCUCCUCCUACACCAGUGACAGCUUUUCACACUGAAGGCAAGUGCUAUUGUAUAACAAACACUUAACUCUUAGCCCAGCCGGGCUCGCUGGCUACUUUUGCAAGCUUUUUACCAACUAGCGAUGCUUGUAAGCGGUGCUUGUAACUCCUAGCUUGUACCACGCUCCCACUAGCUGCGCUAUCAGCUAGCGGCGUUCAAAGCAGCUCCUCAAACCGCGGCUUGUGCCCGCGCGCCCGCUGCGCUAUCAGCUGGGCUGCGCCUAAAGCACCUUUGCAAGCCCCGACUUAAGCCCCGCGCCGCGCUCCCCUCGCUCGCCAGGGACAGCCCGUGCCACGCAUGCGCACCACCCGCUCUAUCAGGUAGAGUGCGCACUACCCGCACUAUCAGGUAGUGUGGCUGAGAGCUGCCCUGCGCAUGCGCCCCACCCGCUCUAUCAGGUAGAGUGGCUGCUAGCCGCCCCGAGCAUGCGCACUACCCGCACUAGCAGGUAGUGUGGGCUGAGAGCUGCCCUGCGCAUGCGCUCUCUAGCACUGCCGCGCCGCGUCUCUCUAUCUUAGCAACGCCGCACCGCGCAUCACCGUUCCACUCACACAUACACACACACGCACAAGCACGCACGUCCGGACGUAACAGACACACUACACUGCAAUCGGGACACACACCACACACUGAAAUCGCGAUUUCGCCCUCCCCGAGCCGCGCUAUCAGCUGGGGAGGUCCUCCCGCCGCCGGCCUCUCCCCCGAUGGCGGUCUGCUUGCAAGCCCCUAGGCAAACCUGCGCGCAAAAACAUCUUUUUGCGACUUAUCAGUGCCAACCUUAAGAAAAUAAAUUAAUACAUACCGCUUUCA